GGAAAUGGAGAGCCCUAGUACAUGGAGCAGCAGCUGGGUUCCGGAUCCACGCACCGGAAUAUAUUUUCCGAAAGGGCAUGAACGGGUGAUGGAUGAUAUCCCUAAAGGAGCAGCUUCCCUUAAUAACCAGACAUUCUGGCUGAGGAACCUGGACGGUGUCCUUGAGAAACCCGACCCGGAUACUUCCCCUGAUCAUUACUACCAAAUGCGUAUGUGAAAGAAAGAAUCGGUGCUCGUUGAUCUUUAUAUGUGGCUGACUAAUUCAGAAGGGUACUAGCUAGCUAAGUUUAAUUUCAUGAAGUGAUGAAACCAGUGAAUA
rnacentral:lncRNA from 1 species